GACAGAGGUGCCAAGCGUUAGGCGGAAUCACUGGGCUUAAAGCGUGUGUAGGCGGACUGGUAAGUACCUUGUGAAAUCCCACGGCUUAACCGUGGAACUGCUUGGUAUACUGCUGGUCUUGAGCCACCUAGGGGCGAGCGGAACAAAUGGUGGAGCGGUGAAAUGCGUAGAGAUCGGGAGGAACACCAGAGGCGAAGGCGGCGACCUGGACAAGUACUGACACUCAACUACGAAAGCGUGGGGAGCAAACAGG
rnacentral:rRNA from 1 species